AACGCUGGCGGCGUGCUUAACACAUGCAAGUCGAACGGAAAGGCCUCUUUCGGGGGGUACUCGAGUGGCGAACGGGUGAGUAACACGUGAGUAACCUGCCCUUGACUUUGGGAUAACUUCAGGAAACUGGGGCUAAUACCGGAUAGGAGCUCCUGCUGCAUGGUGGGGGUUGGAAAGUUUCGGCGGUUGGGGAUGGACUCGCGGCUUAUCAGCUUGUUGGUGGGGUAGUGGCUUACCAAGGCUUUGACGGGUAGCCGGCCUGAGAGGGUGACCGGCCACAUUGGGACUGAGAUACGGCCCAGACUCCUACGGGAGGCAGCAGUGGGGAAUAUUGCACAAUGGGUGGAAGCCUGAUGCAGCAACGCCGUGUGCGGGAUGACGGCCUUCGGGUUGUAGACCGCUUUCGCUCAUGACGAAGCUUUGUGUGACGGUAGUGGGUAAAGAAGCACCGGCUAACUACGUG
rnacentral:rRNA from 1 species